rnacentral:rRNA from 1 species
GACGAACGCUUUUGGCGUGCUUAACACAUGCAAGUCGAACGGAAAGGCCCUGCUUUUGUGGGGUGCUCGAGUGGCGAACGGGUGAGUAACACGUGAGUAACCUGCCCUUGACUUUGGGAUAACUUCAGGAAACUGGGGCUAAUACCGGAUAGGAGCUCCUGCUGCAUGGUGGGGGUUGGAAAGUUUCGGCGGUUGGGGAUGGACUCGCGGCUUAUCAGCUUGUUGGUGGGGUAGUGGCUUACCAAGGCUUUGACGGGUAGCCGGCCUGAGAGGGUGACCGGCCACAUUGGGACUGAGAUACGGCCCAGACUCCUACGGGAGGCAGCAGUGGGGAAUAUUGCACAAUGGGCGGAAGCCUGAUGCAGCAACGCCGCGUGCGGGAUGACGGCCUUCGGGUUGUAAACCGCUUUCGCCUGUGACGAAGCGUGAGUGACGGUAAUGGGUAAAGAAGCACCGGCUAACUACGUGCCAGCAGCCGCGGUGAUACGUAGGGUGCGAGCGUUGUCCGGAUUUAUUGGGCGUAAAGGGCUCGUAGGUGGUUGAUCGCGUCGGAAGUGCAAUCUUGGGGCUUAACCCUGAGCGUGCUUUCGAUACGGGUUGACUUGAGGAAGGUAGGGGAGAAUGGAAUUCCUGGUGGAGCGGUGGAAUGCGCAGAUAUCAGGAGGAACACCAGUGGCGAAGGCGGUUCUCUGGGCCUUUCCUGACGCUGAGGAGCGAAAGCGUGGGGAGCGAACAGGCUUAGAUACCCUGGUAGUCCACGCUGUAAACGGUGGGUACUAGGUGUGGGGUCCAUUCCACGGGUUCCGUGCCGUAGCUAACGCUUUAAGUACCCCGCCUGGGGAGUACGGCCGCAAGGCUAAAACUCAAAGGAAUUGACGGGGCCCCGCACAAGCGGCGGAGCAUGCGGAUUAAUUCGAUGCAACGCGUAGAACCUUACCUGGGUUUGACAUGGAUCGGGAGUGCUCAGAGAUGGGUGUGCCUCUUUUGGGGUCGGUUCACAGGUGGUGCAUGGCUGUCGUCAGCUCGUGUCGUGAGAUGUUGGGUUAAGUCCCGCAACGAGCGCAACCCUUGUUCACUGUUGCCAGCACGUUAUGGUGGGGACUCAGUGGAGACCGCCGGGGUCAACUCGGAGGAAGGUGGGGAUGACGUCAAGUCAUCAUGCCCCUUAUGUCCAGGGCUUCACGCAUGCUACAAUGGCUGGUACAGAGAGUGGCGAGCCUGUGAGGGUGAGCGAAUCUCGGAAAGCCGGUCUCAGUUCGGAUUGGGGUCUGCAACUCGACCUCAUGAAGUCGGAGUCGCUAGUAAUCGCAGAUCAGCAACGCUGCGGUGAAUACGUUCCCGGG